rnacentral:rRNA from 1 species
GGAUGAACGCUGGCGGCGUGCCUAAUCCAUGCAAGUCGAGCGAACAGACGAGGAGCUUGCUCCUCUGACGUUAGCGGCGGACGGGGGAGUAACACGUGGAUAACCUACCUAUAAGACUGGGAUAACUUCGGGAAACCGGAGCUAAUACCGGAUAAUAUAUUGAACCGCAUGGUUCAAUAGUGAAAGACGGUUUUGCUGUCACUUAUAGAUGGAUCCGCGCCGCAUUAGCUAGUUGGUAAGGUAACGGCUUACCAAGGCAACGAUGCGUAGCCGACCUGAGAGGGUGAUCGGCCACACUGGAACUGAGACACGGUCCAGACUCCUACGGGAGGCAGCAGUAGGGAAUCUUCCGCAAUGGGCGAAAGCCUGACGGAGCAACGCCGCGUGAGUGAUGAAGGUCUUCGGAUCGUAAAACUCUGUUAUUAGGGAAGAACAAAUGUGUAAGUAACUAUGCACGUCUUGACGGUACCUAAUCAGAAAGCCACGGCUAACUACGUG